GAACUAAUACUCGCAAAGGGCAGACCUUCGUUAUUUAUAAAAGAACUGUAAAGCUUACAAACUUAAAAUUCAGAAAAUGAAUUCCUUGUAAGGCCCACCAAACAGUUUUGGGCAAAUCCACCCUGGGGUCAAAUGAGGAUUGGAAGAUUCUAUGAAAGUCGUACCUAUGAAAGCUGUAUGAAGUAAGGCAAGUAAACUAAGUAUAAUGUGCAUCGCGUCAUCGUACUUCUUAAUCUACUUCAAGAUAAUCCGGUGGUAACACGGUACAAGCUCAAAAUAGAACUCGCCAGUCCAAACAUUUUUUUAAAGUAUUAAUUUUAGAUUACAGUAAAGUAUUACAGCUUUACACAAGAAAUAAGAUUGUAUAAAUGUAAUACGGAACGUGUUAAUAAAUAUAAGCGGGAUGA